rnacentral:rRNA from 1 species
UACGGAGGGUGCAAGCGUUAAUCGGAAUUACUGGGCGUAAAGCGCACGCAGGGGGCUUGUUAAGUCAGAAGUGAAAUCCCCGGGCUCAACCUGGGAACUGCAUCUGUGACUGGCAAGCUUGAGUGUAGUAGAGGGGGGUGGAAUUCCCGGUGUAGCGGUGAAAUGCGUAGAGAUCUGGAGGAAUACCAGUGGCGAAGGCGGCCACCUGGACUGACACUGACGCUCAGGUGCGAAAGCGUGGGUAGCAAACAGG